GGCAGAUCUGGGGUGAUGUGUUGUGGUGAUGGGGAUUUGGGAGCAGUGGUUGGGAUGAUGGUUUGGGGUGAAUGAUUGGGGCCAUGGGUUGGGGUCAGGGGUUGGGGUGGCAGAUCUGGGGUGAUGUGUUGUGGUGAUGGGGAUUUGGGAGCAGUGGUUGGGAUGAUGGUUUGGGGUGAAUCUUCCCUUCCCUUCCCUUCCCUUCCCUGAAACUUCCCUUCCCUUCCCUUCCCUUCCCUUCCCUUCCUUUCUGUAAAUCUUGGAGUUUUCUCUUUUUUAUUCCUCUUAUUCUUUUUUUCUCCUUCCCCUCUUUCCCCCCCAACCUUUUCCUCUCUUUUUCCCUUCCUCUCCCUCUUUCUUCCUCCUUCUCUUCCUCUUCCUCUUUUUUCCCUCCCUCCCUCCUCGGGAGCAGCAAAUCACUUUGAUGGUGGCAGGAGCGAGGUCCUUCACCACUGCACGGAGUAGCCUGGUCCCUCUAUCCAUCAUCCUUAAGUGAUUAGAAUGUAAUUACUGCUGGAUUCCUCCCUCAUUAGUCACAGCCCCCAAUACUCAGGAUCAGGAUUCCCCCGGAUGAGGAUUCCCCACCUGGAUGCCAAGGGAGAUCCCAGGCAAAGCCCAGCCUUGAGGUGCAGCUGUCCUGGGGCUGGCACAGGCUGGACGGGGCUUGGAGCACCCUGGGGUGGGGGGAGAUGUCCCCGCCCACGACAGGAGGUGGAAUGGGAUGAGCUUUAAAGCCUCUCCCAACCCAAACCAUCCCGUGAUUGCAGGGUUCCAGGAUCUCUCAUCCUGCUUGUGCUGCUUUUGCAUGGAAGUCACCGAGGAGGAGGAGCACAGGCACACGCGGGGGGCUGGGGUUGUUCCCAGGAUUGUGCCAGGAUUGUUCCCAGGAUUGCGACAGGAUUGUGCCAGGAUUGUCCCAGGGUUGUCCCAGGAUUGUGACAGGAUUAUCCCAGUAUUGUUCCCAGGAUUAUGCCAGGAUUGUUCCCAGGAUUGUCCCCAGAUUGUUCCCAGGAUUGCAGGAUUGCACCAGGAUUGUUCCCAGGAUUGCGCCAGGAUUGUGCCAGGAUUGUCCCAGGAUUGCACCAGGAUUAUCCCAGGAUUGCGCCAGGAUUGCACCAGGAUUGUGCCAGGAUUGUUCCAGGAUUGCACCAGGAUUAUCCCAGGAUUGCGCCAGGAUUGCACCAGGAUUGUGCCAGGAUUGUUCCAGGAUUGCUCCAGGAUUGCGCCAGGAUUGCGCCAGGAUUGUGCCAAAAUUGUCCCAGGAUUGUGCCAGGAUUGUCUCCUGAUUAUCCCAGGACUGUGACAGGAUUGUGCCAAGACUGUCCCAGGGUUGUGCCAGGAUUGUUACAGGAUUGCACCAGGAUUGUUCCCAGGAUUGCGCCAGGAUUGUUCCAGGAUUGCGCCAGGAUUGCGCCAGGAUUGUGCCAAAAUUGUCCCAGGAUUGUGCCAGGAUUGUCUCCUGAUUAUCCCAGGACUGUGACAGGAUUGUGCCAAGACUGUCCCAGGAUUGUGCCAGGAUUGUUGCAGGAUUGUUCCCUGAUGAUUGUCCCAGGAUUGUUCCCGGGUUUGUCCCCUGAUUGUCCCAGGAUUGUGCCAGGAUUGUUCCAGGAUUGUUCCCUGAUGAUUGUCCCAGGAUUGUUCCCGGGGUUGUCCCCUGAUUGUCCCAGGAUUGUCCCCAGCGCCAGGUGCCCGCAGCUGGCCCAGCCCCGCCCCUCCCGGCUGUCAGCUCAGGAAUAUCCCGAUGGAUCCGGGGGGACGGGGCUGUUUGGCCACCUCAGCGCCCGCCUGGGCUCUCGACCACGGAGCCGCCUCCAUCAGCUUCGCCAUCUGCUCUGAAAAGUGUGGGGACAAAGCCAGUGUCACUCGUGCUCAUCCUCCAGCAGGGUGGCACCUGGUUUAAUGUCCCUCGAAGAGCUGGCGCGGGGCUCUGUGUCCCCUGCACCCCAUCCCUCCCCUGCGCCCUUUGGGGACGUGUCACUGUCCCCACUGCUGGCAGCAUCGGGCUCUGCUGGAAAACAUGUUCGUAAUUAUUGGGAAAGAAAGCAUAGAAUAUUUUCAGCUCUUUU
ensembl:lncRNA